GGCGGCCGUGGGGGUGCCCCCCUGGAGAGGAGCAGAGAUACACGUGCCAUGUGCAGCACGAGGGGCUACCCGAACUCCUGACCCUGAGAUGGGAGCCGCCUUCUCAGACCUUCAUCUUCAUCAUCAUCAUGGGCAUCGCUGGGGGCCUGGUUCUGCUGGGAGCUGUGGCUGGAGCUGUGAUGUGGGGGAGGAGGCGAUUAGGUGGUGAAGGGGUGGGGCCUGAGUGUGCACUCUAGGCAGUGACAGCGGCCAGGGCUCUGAUGUGUCUCUCUCCGCUUCUAAAGCGGGAGGCAGCUGCCUUGUGGGGACUGAGUGAUGGAAGAUGUGUUCACCCUCCCACUUCCUGACUCAAGAACCUCUGAUGGGGGCUGGCCCCGCCCUGCUCCCCACACUUUCUGGUCCAGCAGAGGCGCACUGGGCCCUCACUAUCACUGUCUUUACUUCCUCAUAUUCGAGGCUGCAAGCUAUUCCUUCCGCAUUGAAAUGAGGUUGUGGAUGUGACUUUGUUCAUUUCUUGCCAUAAAGGGUUGGUGGGUAAAUUCAAGGAGAAGAUUCUACAUUUUGAGGGAAAAUAAAUAUAAACACCAAGAACUUUCC